rnacentral:rRNA from 1 species
CCUACGGGAGGCAGCAGUGAGGAAUAUUGGUCAAUGGGCGGAAGCCUGAACCAGCCAAGUCGCGUGAGGGAAUAAGGCCCUACGGGUCGUAAACCUCUUUUGCCGGGGAGCAAGGGCGGGGACGUGUCCCGGCCCGGAGAGUACCCGGAGAAAAAGCAUGGGCGAACGCCGGCCCAGCAGCCGCGGGACUACGGAGGAUGCGAGCGUUAUCCGGAUUUAUUGGGUUUAAAGGGUGCGUAGGCGGGCUGUUAAGUCAGCGGUAAAAAUUCGGGGCUCAACCCCGUCCGGCCGUUGAAACUGGGGGCCUUGCGUGGGCGAGAAGAAGGCGGAAUGCGUGGUGUAGCGGUGAAAUGCAUAGAUAUCACGCAGAACCCCGAUUGCGAAGGCAGCCUGCCGGCGCCCGACUGACGCUGAGGCACGAAAGUGCGGGGAUCGAACAGGAUUAGAUACCCUGGUAGUC